rnacentral:lncRNA from 1 species
GAUGAGUUGGAGUAAGGAGGUGAAUUCUCGAAAUACGAGAGUUGGACUUCGCUCAAGAUUGACUAAUUGUCGAGUGGAGUGCUUCGUAAAAGCCGAAGAGGUCAAAUGCACCAAAAGUGCAUUGCAAUGGAGUCCGCGAGAGCAAAUGGUGCAAGAAUCUGCACUUCGCAGAUUUGCUCUCGGGGACCGGUCCCUGGCGGGAGGGACCGGUUCCCGAACGUGGUCUGCGCGAGCUUGCUCUCGGGGACCGGUCCCAGGAGGGAGGGACCGGUUGCCCCGAGGCUGAGGGAUUGCGCAGCGUGGGGCAACCGGUCCCAGGUAAGGA